rnacentral:lncRNA from 1 species
UGGGGUAAUUUUGCUCGUGCUUCUUCAACUUUCUCGAGGCAUAAGCAAUCACAUUACCAUUCUGCAUCAAAACACAACCCAAACCAAUCCAUAUUUACUUAUCAUAUAUGCAUAUUAAAGAUUAUCCCACUCACCCGGAAAAUAUAAAACUAAAAAGGAAUGUCAGACGAAAGACCCGAAAAUCCUAUUGAGGAUCGUUAGGAGAACCUACAACAAUAUGAAAAUAUACUCAAAAGCAACUCAAACAAGAGAUCCCAAUGCAUAAAAUAAAACCAGGUUUAGUCUCCUAAUUUUAUGGACUAAAACGAUAAUUUUUCAAAACAGGGACCAAAACGUAAUUUUACCAAAAUUGGACCAAUCUGGAAAAUACAUAACUAUACUGGAUUUUCACCCAUAAACCAUCCUUAAUUCUGUCUAGAACGAACCAGGGACCGAACUGUAAUUUUCAUAAAGUUCAGGGACUAAAAUGUAAAUUCCCAAAAUUGAGGGACCAAACUGAAAAUAUUCCCAAUCAAUUAUCAAACUGAGAUUCAUCAUCCUUAACCUCAUAAUAACACUGUCCAGAAUCUCAAAAUACAAUUAGGGGUCAAAUUAUAAUUUUACCAAAGUUUAGGGACUAAACUGUAAUUUCACAAAUUGAGGGACCAAAUUGAAUUUUCGUCAUCUUCAACCUCAAACCCAGAAUUUCACAGAUUACCUACUGUCAUCUCCUGAUUUCUAACAAAAUUCCACCAUUCAAACAAAAUCAUAACUCAAAAUCAUCAUAUUUACCUCCAAUCUCUCACAAUCAACUAAUUAACCAAUUACCCACAACAAUCAACCCAUAACCUUCCAAUUAAUUCAUCAAUCAAACUCAAAACACAAUAUUCAAAACCCUAACAUUUAUCAAAACAGAACUUAAAGCUUAAAGAACACAUAUUUAUACAUAAUCUUACCUUUAAACUUAUUUCCUCCAAUUCUCUUCUCCUUUCCUUAUCUUUCCCUCUUUUCUCUUCUUCUUCCUCCCCUUUUUCUUCUCUUCUCCCGUCAGUUUUCACUCUUAAAACACAGCUCUCUUCUUCUAUUUUCUUUUCUAUUUAUAUUUAUCAACU